UGUAACGUUAAAUUCUGUUACCCUCUGAUGAGGACUUACCGUUGACGCUUUGGCGCGAUUCUCCACUUAUUUAGAAUA